UAUAAUUUAGUAUAAGAAUGUACACUAAUUUUUGGAGUUAGAAGAAGUGAUUUAAUUUCAUUAAUUAUAA
rnacentral:tRNA from 1 species